rnacentral:rRNA from 1 species
UACGAAGGGGGCUAGCGUUGCUCGGAAUUACUGGGCGUAAAGCGCACGUAGGCGGAUUGUUAAGUCGGGGGUGAAAUCCUGGAGCUCAACUCCAGAACUGCCUUUGAUACUGGCGAUCUCGAGUUCGGGAGAGGUGAGUGGAACUGCGAGUGUAGAGGUGAAAUUCGUAGAUAUUCGCAAGAACACCAGUGGCGAAGGCGGCUCACUGGCCCGAUACUGACGCUGAGGCACGAAAGCGUGGGGAGCAAACAGG